GCGGGAAUAGCUCAGCUGGUAGAGCGUUACAUUGCCAAUGUAAAGGUCGCGAGUUCAAAUCUCGUUUCCCGCU
rfam:Candidatus Beckwithbacteria bacterium CG2_30_44_31 cg2_3.0_scaffold_16339_c, whole genome shotgun sequence.